UACGAAGGGUGCAAGCGUUACUCGGAAUUACUGGGCGUAAAGCGUGCGUAGGUGGUUUGUUAAGUCUGUUGUGAAAGCCCCGGGCUCAACCUGGGAAUGGCAAUGGAUACUGGCAGGCUAGAGUGCGGUAGAGGGUAGUGGAAUUCCCGGUGUAGCGGUGAAAUGCGUAGAGAUCGGGAGGAACACCAGUGGCGAAGGCGGCUACCUGGACCAAGCACUGACACUGAGGCACGAAAGCGUGGGGAGCAAACAGGA
rnacentral:rRNA from 1 species